GAAGUAACCUGACAUACUUGAGAGGGCACUUAGCUUUCACUUCUGAGUGUAGAUACAUUGAAUUUUGUGGGAAAAAAAAAAGAUAAUAAAAGUGCCAGGAAGAAUUUGAACUAGGUUCACAAGGACCAGAGGGAGAGGUAAUCUUGGCAGCAGCCGCUAAUAUUUACCAGACUCGAGAAGCACGUAGGGACAACAGGCCUUCUGGACAACAGCUACGUUUGUCAAGUCAAAAGAUUCUUUUCCAUUAUGGGUUAUUACAAGAUAUUAAUAGAGCUCCCUGGGCUAUACAGUGAAAGUGGUGGAGAAGCCCAGUCCACGUGACAAGCUGUCUCACCUAUCAAACCCCUGCUCACAGUAGGAGCUUGAACAAAUACCACUGAGUCAGCCCCUACUCCAAAUAAAUGAUGUGAGUUCUGCGGUUUCUGCUAGAAAUGUACGGAUCUCCAGGAAAUGAUCAUAUACCAUGUGGCUCUACUAUUCCUGCCCUAGAGGCCAUUGCCCUGUGCUGGGUUGACGCGGUUUCUGUCUGCACAGCCUCCCUGCCUUUGGGGAGCCCUCCUCUCCUCUUCUGUGUGGCUCUGGUGAGAUUGAGUCCUAGUAGCUCCCCAUCUGGCUGCACAUGCACCAUAUGUAAGGUGGCUUGCAAUAAAACUUUUCCCCCUUUGUUUUCAGUGAUUUAACUUAAUGGGAAAAGGGUUGAAUUAGUAAUAUUUUAAAUUAUGAUAAUUAUGUGUAUAGAGUGAAGGAGUGAAGUGUGUCUUCACUAGACAGUGUUGGAUGAAC
ensembl:lncRNA